rnacentral:rRNA from 1 species
AUUGAACGCUGGCGGCAUGCCUUACACAUGCAAGUCGAACGGUAACAGGUCUUCGGAUGCUGACGAGUGGCGAACGGGUGAGUAAUACAUCGGAACGUGCCCGAGAGUGGGGGAUAACGAGGCGAAAGCUUUGCUAAUACCGCAUACGAUCUCAGGAUGAAAGCAGGGGACCGCAAGGCCUUGCGCUCACGGAGCGGCCGAUGGCAGAUUAGGUAGUUGGUGGGAUAAAAGCUUACCAAGCCGACGAUCUGUAGCUGGUCUGAGAGGACGACCAGCCACCAUGGGACUGAGGCACGGCCCAGACUCCUACGGGAGGGAGCGGUGGGGAAUUUUGGACAAUGGGCGCAAGCCUGAUCCAGCCAUGCCGCGUGCAGGAUGAAGGCCUUCGGGUUGUAAACUGCUUUUGUACGGAACGAAAAGACUCCUUCUAAUAAAGGGGGUCCAUGACGGUACCGUAAGAAUAAGCACCGGCUAACUACGUGCCAGCAGCCGCCGUAACAC